UAUUGGACAAUGGGGGAAACCCUGAUCCAGCGACGCCGCGUGAGUGAAGAAGUAUUUCGGUAUGUAAAGCUCUGUCAGCAGGGAAGAAAGAAAUGACGGUACCUGACCAAGAAGCCCCGGCUAACUACGUGCCAGCAGCCGCGGUAAUACGUAGGGGGCAAGCGUUAUCCGGAUUUACUGGGUGGAAAGGGAGCGUAGACGGCAAGGCAAGUCUGGAGUGAAAGCCCGUGGCCCAACCACGGGACUGCUUUGGAAACUGUAUUGCUGGAGUGCAGGAGGGGUAAGCGGAAUUCCUAGUGUAGCGGUGAAAUGCGUAGAUAUUAGGAGGAACACCGGUGGCGAAGGCGGCUUACUGGACUGUAACUGACGUUGAGGCUCGAAGGCGUGGGGAGCAAACAGG
rnacentral:rRNA from 1 species